rnacentral:tRNA from 1 species
UGCAGGUAGGACAAACGGCUAAGUCGCAGGCCUCAUAAGCCUUGAGGAGUGGGUUCAACUCCCACACUUUGCAACCA